ACUCAGCGUGCGGACCGGUAGUAAACAAAAGGAUGUAAUAAAAAGUAUAAAAAAGUAUAAUAACUGACUGAGAAACCAAGUUUGUGUCCAUUUCUCGGUUUUCUAUGGGCCUUUUACAAAACGGAGUUCAAGUUGGCUGUGCUAAUGCAAUCAUUUUUCACUCACAUUCAAAGUGUUAAACAGUUAAGAAAAAACUUAAUAAAAACACAUCGAAAAUUUCACAAAUCUGUGCGUACAAAACCUAAAGGUAAGCGAGAUGCUUGGAAAUAUACAAGUUUUUCUGAAGCUUUGACAGUCUUUUAGACCAUGUCUUUGCGAC
rnacentral:lncRNA from 1 species